CUUUUUAAUAUUUAUAAUUUUGUAUCAAAGCUGUCAAUCUAAUGGUUCAGUUAAAUACUAGAAUAAUAUCAGUUCUUUGAAACUAGGCUCUAGGGCUUAAAAGCAUAUGACUAAAAUUCAAUUAGAACAUACAUUAAUUCAGAUUAGGUAAUAAAAUAGUAUAAUAACAUGUAUGCACAUGCCAAUAAACAUUUCAGACUCUGCAAUUUAGUAUUAUAUUACUAUUAUUAAUAAUCAAUUGAUUUGGUAUAC